rnacentral:rRNA from 1 species
UAAACUACGAUUAGAUACCCUAUUAUUUUAAAUGUGAAUAUUAAAAAUAUUUGAGUAGUAGGAGUUAUGUUCUUUAAACUUAAAGAAUUUGGCGGUGUUUUAGUCUGUUCAGAGGAACCUGUCCCGUAAUCGAUAGCCCACGUAAUAUCUUACUUAGAUUUGUUUUCAGUUUGUAUACCGCCGUCGUCAGAAUGUCUUUUGAAGGAUUAAAUUUUCUAAAAUUUUUAUUAAAAAUGAUGUCAGGUCAAGGUGCAGCUAAUGUUUGAGUGGAGAUGGGUUACAAUAAAUUUAUUUAGAUGGAUUUUGUCUUGUAAUGAGUGAAAUGAAAGUGGAUUUGAUUGUAAUAUUGUUAAUAAAGUUAAUUUGAUUUUAGCUCUAAAACAUGCACACAUCGCCCGUCGCUCUUA